UACAGAGGUCUCAAGCGUUGUUCGGAUUCAUUGGGCGUAAAGGGUGCGUAGGUGGCGUGGUAAGUCGGAUGUGAAAUCCCGGGGCUCAACCCCGGAACUGCCCCUUGAAACUGCAGUGCUAGAAUUCUGGAGAGGCGAGUGGAAUUCCGAGUGUAGAGGUGAAAUGCGUAGAUAUCUGGAGGAACACCGGUGGCGAAGGCGGCAUCCUGGACCGAUAUUGACGCUGAGGCGCGAAAGCCAGGGGAGCAAACGGG
rnacentral:rRNA from 1 species